UUUGAAAUGAUGAGAUAGUUUUACCACCAAGAUCUAUGAGUGCCAUGAUUUAUGGUAUUUGCUAACUGAUUAUUGAUAUUAAUUUAAAUUUUAAGUAGAAAAGUAGCACAAUCUUAACUAACAUAUUUAUUUUAUUAUUUAUAGAUCUCCUGUACAUAAUUCCUAAGUGAAAUGGCACCUUAAAAUUGUAUAUAAGAAAUUUGCUAAACUGAUGCAAUUUGUGAUUAAACAACAAGAACUACAGGUCUCCUGUACAUAAUUCCUAAGUGAAAGGGCACUUUAAAAUUGUAUAUAAGAAAUUUGCUAAACUGAUGCAAUUUGUAAUUAAACGACAAGAACUACAGGUCUCCUGUACAUAAUUUCUAAGUGAAAUGGCACUUUAAAAUUGUAUAUAAG